CUCUUCUUUUCGCACUAGUAAUGUUUCCAUAUAAAACAUUCUUUCUUUUUAAAUCCCAUUUUAUGAAAGUCUUUAAAAAAUUAAUAAAACUGUUGGUAAAAUGGCAGACAGCAGCACAACAUAUCUUUAUAUGGUAAUGAGAAAAUACUGACAAAUCAUAGUAGGUUAAACAAAGCAUGUUAAAAAUCCUCAAUCAGCUCUCAGGAAUCUUCUGAGCUGAAUUUUGGCUUCCAUUAGAUGAUAUCUGGUAUCUUAUAAUAAGAACUAAACGGAAUUUACUUUGAAUUUGAAUUAAUUUUACAUAAACAUAAUUUGAAAUUUCAUUAAUUGCAAACUAGAUGUAGCAAAAUAACAUUUUCCUCCAUAAACCUGAGGCAGUAUCUCUCAUAAAUACACAUACCAUCAGUAGGAAGAAUAGACACAUAUAAGGAACAUACAAGAAGAGAGAAAUAUAUAGAGAAUAUUUGUGACUGGGAUACACACUUAGGGAUUGCAAACGUUCGGGGUACAUUUCUGGACUCAUGCCUCCAAUUCAAUAGGUUAACAUAUUUUCUGGUUAUGUCAUCACAUUGUUCUUACUGGGUCUGUUUGCAGCUGAUUUCAAAUAAUAUCAAGUCUCUGUCAGGUAUAUGGAUAUAUUAUGUACCCAGACAUGCCAUGCACCAUACCUACUGAUCUGACAGGGAUACUUCGGUUUAGUUCACUGCUGGUUCUUAUGUUAGAGUGUGUCAUUGCCACACAUGACUCUAUGGGUUACAAGAUCAUAGGACUUCUCUCCGUUUCUAGCUUCUAGUACUAGCUGUGGUCCUAAAUGUAAUCUUUUCCCCUUUACAGGAAAAGUGAGGUUUAUCAUUUCUCUUUUAGCUUUGAGCCCAGAGGCUUAAGCUUUAGUUCUCAGAUGUAGUCAUCAUAUUAGGGAAACACUCUUGCUUCCUUCUCCACUCUCUCCUCACCCAAUAAUGGGAGUCUCUUGAUUCUCAGAGCUUUGACUCUGGUAAGGUUUUUCCUUUCCAAAAGGAAAAUCUUUACCCCCUCCUACAUCCCCAAAUCAAACUUUUUGGGAAACAAAACUGUUAGACAACUAAGUAGACAUAUAAGCAUUGUCUAUUUUUUUUUCUCUAUCUCUAACUUCCUGCUCAUGAAGAGUAGUAUCUUUAUUCCCAGUCAUUGAAAGACUAAUGAUUAGAAAAUCCCUGUUCAGUCCUGCUAAAAGUCAGCUGCUGAAGAACCCAUCCUUACAAUCAUUUUAGGUGCUUCCCAUUCAGCAAAUCAAAACCUGUAUUGGUUGUUGUGAAAAAAGCACUUUGUAAAUCCUAAAGCAUUAUAUAACUAAGCUGUUAUUAUUGUUACUAGUAGUAGUAAUAAUAAUAAAAAUAAAUGUAGACACCUGUGAAUUAUAUCCCUUAAGGCUCAGUUAAAAUUCCACCCCCAUGAAAUAGUUCUAUAGUUCAGCAGAAGCUUUAGACCAAAGAUCAUGA
rnacentral:lncRNA from 1 species